rnacentral:lncRNA from 14 species
CGUCAUUCCAGGUCUCAUGGUUGUUUUUCUCAAGAUCGGGCUUCAACCCUCCCUGCCCCAGUCUCUGAAUGGGUCCAGGUCCCAUACGUUCCUCUUUCCCGCCCUUUCCCGUCCUGUCUUCAGUGGAUCUAUGUUGAAUUCCUACUACAUGCCGGGCC